UGCAUGGCCCUUGGUUGGGCUGCUGAUGUGUUCCUGGGUCUCUGGUCUCUGUUGGGAGGUUGGCUUGGCCCUACUCGACCGGGAGCCCCAUCAGGGGUCCUCCUGCCAGGCCUCUCCCAUUCCCUUUCUCUCUUCCAGCAAAGACCUGCAGCCCUCCUAGGCCGUCGCCCCAGCAGAACCGCGCUCAGCCAAGACGGGUACAGCUCCCGGGCUGGCAUGUAGCAGGAGCUCCGGGAGAGGAGAGCAGGUUGCCCAUCAAGAUGCAGGUGCUCAAGAACAGAUGGGGCAUCGACGUCCAAGGCCGACAAGAUCCACACGGAGGUCACGCCGGAGCACAUCCUGCAGCCCGCACUGGCAGAGCUCCCAGGAAAGUGGAAACGGACUAGGCCCACCGGCUGGCCACUGCCUACGCCUGGGGUUCUGCGACCUGCCCAGGGUUCUGCCACUUGCCAGCUGGGCGAGCAUGGGCACACCUCCUCUCCGAACGCCCCGUGUGUAAUCUGGGGAAUGGAAGCAGCAGCAGGCUCCGGCACACAGGGUGACUGUGGGCUUGAGGGAGGUGACACAGGAAGAGCAUUACACACAGACGAAUGCUGCUGUCAUCACAGUAGAGGCCCUCUCGGUCUCCCGGGAGCACACCCUGGGUCAGGAUGGGCGCCUGCUGCCUUCCCACUGCAGCUGGACCUCGCUCCAGACCUGGACCCAGCCUGCACCUGGGUCUGACCCUCCGCAGCCACAGCAGGCCGCGGACACCCGACUUCUCCAGGGAGCUGGAGCCCAGGGACGUAGAAGGGGCAGAGGUGGACUUGACGCCUGCCCCACCCCGACCUGGCCAAGUGAUCUUGGGAAGGGACCUCCCUGAGCCCUGUUUCCUCAGCUGGUUGUAGCUGUUGGGUUCCAGGUACAAGCCCAGCUGGAGGAGAGGAUCCGAGGUGUGGGUGCCUAUGUGAGAAGAUUCCAGUGCCUGGGCCCAGGCCACGCUGAAGGAUGUCUAUUGGAGGUGACACUGCAGCCCCUGGACGAGGUGCAGCCAGAGCGAGCAAGGAGGCUGUGCGGCGGCGGCCAGCCUGGGUGUCUGAAAUGCAGAGACCUGG